AGUGGAAAGGGAAAGAUUUGUUUGACUUGGUGUGCAGGACACUAGGACUCCGAGAAACCUGGUUCUUUGGACUUCAGUACACGAUCAAGGAUACCGUGGCCUGGCUCAAAAUGGACAAGAAGGUUCUGGAUCAUGACGUUCCAACAGAGGAGCCGGUCACUUUUCACUUCCUUGCCAAAUUUUACCCUGAGAAUGCGGAGGAGGAGCUGGUUCAGGAGAUCACACAGCACUUGUUCUUUCUGCAGGUA